rnacentral:rRNA from 1 species
GUGAGUGAAGAAGGCUUUGGGUUGUACAGCUCUUUUGUAGGGGAAGAUAAUGACUGUCCCUAAGAAUAAGGUCCGGCUACCUUCGUGCCAGCAGCCGCGGUAAUACGAAGGGACCUAGCGUAGUUCGGAAUUACUGGGCGUAAAGCGCGCGUAGGCCGUUGAGUUAGUUAAUUGUGAAAUCCCAAAGCUUAACUUUGGAACUGCAAUUAAAACUGCUCGACUAGAGUUUGAUAGAGGAAAGCGGAAUACAUAGUGUAGAGGUGAAAUUCGUAGAUAUUAUGUAGAACACCAGUUGCGAAGGCGGCUUUCUGGGUCAACACUGACGCUGAGGCGCGAAAGUAUGGGUAGCAAAGAGGAUUAGAUACCCUCGUAGUCCAUACCAUCAACGAUGAUUGCUAGAUGUUGGAAAUUUAUCCACAGUAUCGCAACUAACGCAUUAAGCAAUCCGACUGGGGAGUACGACCGCCAGGUUUGAACUCAAAUGAAUUGACGGGGAGCCGUACAAGCGGUGGCGCAUGUGGUCUAAUUCGAAGAUACGCGCAGAACCUUACCA